rnacentral:lncRNA from 1 species
UUUGCUCAAGUGUUGGUGAAUUUUGUGAAGGAAAACUAGCACAUGAGCUUCUAUUUAUAGAAAAGGCAAGUGUUGGGGUAAUUUAGUCUUUAAGACAACUUUGCAUUAGGUUACAAUUUGGUCACUUAGCUUAGGGUCUCUUGUGGUCAACAUCCUCAUCUUUCAAAUCUUACUAAUCAUCCCCUCACCUACCUCCUCUUAAACUCAACCAUGGUUGAAGUAUCAUCAUUAACU